GACGAACGCUGGCGGCGUGCUUAACACAUGCAAGUCGAACGAAGAGCGAUGGAAGCUUGCUUCUAUCAAUCUUAGUGGCGAACGGGUGAGUAACGCGUAAUCAACCUGCCCUUCAGAGGGGGACAACAGAUGGAAACGACUGCUAAUACCGCAUACGAUCUAAUCUCGGCAUCGAGGAUAGAUGAAAGGUGGCCUCUACAUGUAAGCUAUCACUGAAGGAGGGGAUUGCGUCUGAUUAGCUAGUUGGAGGGGUAACGGCCCACCAAGGCGAUGAUCAGUAGCCGGUCUGAGAGGAUGAACGGCCACAUUGGGACUGAGACACGGCCCAGACUCCUACGGGAGGCAGCAGUGGGGAAUCUUCCGCAAUGGACGAAAGUCUGACGGAGCAACGCCGCGUGAGUGAUGACGGCCUUCGGGUUGUAAAGCUCUGUUAAUCGGGACGAAAGGCCUUCUUGCGAAUAGUGAGAAGGAUUGACGGUACCGGAAUAGAAAGCCACGGCUAACUACGUG
rnacentral:rRNA from 1 species